ACCAAGAAGAGAUCCGAUCACUUGAAGGAUCACUGGGGCUACAUUUUGUUGCAUGCAAAUGAUUCAUCACAAAGCUCCAUGUGGCAUAUGACUCAUCACAAAUGGACAAGUCAUUAAUGACAUGUGGCACAAAUCAAGCAAAGGAAGUACACAAUCUUCCCAAAAUUCGACACAAGGGAGAAAGUAUCCCUUAAAAUUGUCAAACAUGGCCAAAUUAUUCCCAAAACUAGAAAGAAAGCUAAAGCAUCUUCACAAAACAAGCAAGUAUUGAAGAUUGCUCACAAAAUAGGCAACAAGGCCUAUAAAUUUCAGCCAAUAUGAGGAAAAGUGGCUAAAAUUCAAACACAAAACAUGCCUAAAUUAUCCAUUGGACGAAUCAAGACAUAAAUCAAGGCCAAAUCCAUCCAAAGGCAUGGCUUUGGAAGUCUAUAAAUACAAGGUCCCAAGACACA
rnacentral:lncRNA from 1 species